GUGAUCCACCAGCCUCGGCCUCACAAAGUGCUGGGAUUACAGGUAUGAGCCACCACGCCCAGCCUGCAAACAUAUGUUGAACUCUUUGCACAGUGCCCUGCAUGAGAUAGAUGACAGCUCCUUCUUCCAUGUUGUUAAUUUGGUGUGAGUAUAUGUUAUAUGUAUGUAUAUGCAAGAUAAUAAUCUUCUUGUAACCACUGACAGGCCUUUUUGUGAAUGAUGAUGGAAAAAGCAAGAACCUUGUCCAGGUUCCUCUCCAGGGAGCAGGGGUGGGUUGUGAUUCUUGAUUUCAUUCCUUUAGAUAUGAAGAGUUUUCACACAGAGGCAGCACGAAUUUGUCUCUCUCCUAGAGGGUGGGGAGAGUUGCUGGGUGGAUAUAACUGCAUCACAGCCUUUCUGGGUAAACUGGCCACUCCCUACUGAUUUGUUAUCAUGCUAAAUGUGUCUCCUCCCUUCCUUUCUGGAGCUUUUGCAGCUGUUCCUGGAAGGAGACCCAGUUGAAAGGGGUUGUUAUGGACCAGGAACAGCUGGGAUCUUUAAUGAUCUGUGAGCAGCUUACAGCAAAGUUCCAACACCCUGAGUAUCAGUCCCCAAAUCCUUGGUCUUUGCAUUCCAACACAAAGUAAAAAGGAUUGAGCAGGGUUUUGGUUUUGGUUGCAAGUAACAGAAACCCAACGCUAAUUAAUAAACGGGAAAGUGUGUCAGUGGAAAUGUAAGUAAGAAGAGAUUUCAUUUACUGGCCAAUUCAAAAGAUGACAAGCUUUAGGCGUGGCUCAGUCCAGUGGCUCAUGAUGUCUUCAGGACUCAGUGUUUCUCUGUUGUCAUCUCUUAGUUCUAUUAUUUUUUCUGUGUUGGUUCAUUAUGAGGUUUCCUUUAGAGGGUGGCAGAGAAAGCCACUAGUUGCUUCAAGUCUUUAUUUUACCAGCUCCACAAGUCCGACGGAAAGAGAAAACUGCUUUCCCAAAGGGUGUAAGAGGAUGAAAGGCAUGUCAUCAGCUGAAUUGCAUCAGGUGUCCAUCUUGGAAUCAAUCACGGUGCCUCUUAUUAGCAAAGCCUGAGUCAUAGGUGAGUCUAUACUUGGAUGGGGUAGUAAGGAAAUCCCAUGUUGAUUGCAUGGAUGGAAAGUGGGGGUGUUGUGGUUUCAUAAUGGCUUAUUAGGGUUCAAUAAUCAGAACACCAAAUAAUCCAUGCUGGGAGGUAAAAAUUGCAGAUAUUUUACUUUAUGCCCCAAACUAGACUUCAAAUCUGUGCUGCUCUUCCAAUCAUGAAUCCGCAGAACAGAGGAUAGAAAGUUCAGGUCAAUUCAAAUUUGACAAACACUUUCCGAGCACUUACUAUGUGCCAAUAUCCGUGGGAGGCCCUGGGAAACCAAAGAUGAAUGAAACACAAACUCUGAUGUCAGAGACCUCACAGUCUGGUGUUUAAGACGAUAAUAGUCUGGAUUAGAUUCUGGUGUGAUGAGAUGGAUUGUCUCAUAAAAAACAGAGGGAAGGGAUUAUUUAACUCUGAUGGGUGGCUGGGUGCUGAGAAGACCCUCAGAGGGUGUAACCUUUGAGUCUUAAGGAGGAUUAAGUUUAAAGGGGAUUUUGUUGGAGGAUAAGCAUCAAGGAAAGCAUUCCAGGAAGAGAGACGGGCAUAUGCAAAGGUAUAGUGUUGUGACCUCUGAUUAAAUAUGGAUGAGACAGGACAGGGAAAAACACACUUGUUAGAUUGUGGCAAAUGCCCAUGUGAAGUGAUUAAGUGACUGAAAUUGGGCAGAGGUGGUGUGCUGGUAGAUUCUAAGGUGACCCCAGUGAUCCAUGCCUUGUAAAAUCUUCUCCCCUGUGAGUGCUCCUUGGUGAGCAGGUGAUGUUAUAUUGGGAGAUUGACUAUAAGAAGGGGAGACUAUCUGUGUGGUCCUGGCCUAAUGACAUGAAUCCUUUAAGAGCAGAGCUUUCUCCAGCUGGUAGAAAAAGGGGAAGUAUGAGACUUAAAGGUGGAGGUGGCCCCAUGGAAAAGACCUAAGGGUAGCCUGCGGGAACUGAGAGAAAACCCCAACUGGCAGCCAGCAAGAAAACAGGGACCUUAAUCUUACGACCACAAGGAACUGGACUCUGCUACCAGAAUGAGCUGCAAGGGAGAUUCUUCCUCAGAAGCUUCAGAUAAGAACUCCACCUGGCUGACCUUUGAUUUUGGUUUUGUGAGAACUUUGGCAGAUAACCCAGGGAGACAUGAGACAUCAAUCAACAUAUGUAAGAUGAACAUUGGUUCAUUCUGGGAAAGGCGGGACAACUUGAAGCAAAGGCGGGAUGUCAUAGGUAGGUAAGAGACCAAUGGUUGUGUUCCUUUGAGUUUCUGAUUUGCCUCUCCAAAGGAGAAAAUCAGAUAUGCAUUUGUCUCAGUGAGCAGAGGGGUGACUGAAUAGAAUGGGAGGCAGGUUAGUCUAGAGCAAUUCCCAGCUUGACUUUUCCCUUUAGCUUAGUGAUUUGGGGUACCCAAAAUUUAUUUUCCUUUCACAGUUUCUUUCCUUGGCAACACCCACAUUAAGUAAUUAGUUUAUAGAGGCAUGUAGGCAUUAAGGACAAGACAUUAUUCUAGAUGACGGGGGCCUGCUAAGAUUCAUCUAUCUAUCAAUCUGUAAGCAUUGACUGAGGUACAUGCAUGAAUCAGUUACUGUGGACACAGAGCUCAUUGUGACACAGUUUUUUUUUGCCUUUGAAGACAUCACAAUUUAGGAAGAUGUAGAAACCAAUCUCUAAAGUCCACUUUACUUCUAGAGUACAGAGUAUGAUGCUUCAUGGUUAGAAAUGACUUCCAAAAUCAGAUAAAGAUACAAACAUCUGAUAAAAACGCCUAAAACAUGGAUCUUAUUCUUAAUGAAUUUGUUAAUAUAAAGAGGAAGGGCAUAGGGAUGAAAACCCAUGGGCUAGAAAACAGAAUGGGGUUGGAACCAAACAACAGAUGGUCUAGUCAGCUGCUAUGGAGCUCAGACAAGGGAGAGAUCCCAGAGAGCUAUCAUUCAGCAGGGAAAGCUUCAUUGACAAGAUUGGCUCUGGAAGGGGCUUUCAAGGCUAGAUUGGAUUCUGGUUGGUUGCCUAGGUGGGAACUUUAAAUCUCUGGGUAGGCGGGCCAGUAAGAGGGUGAGCAGGCAGUGCCGACCAAGCAGAUUAGCCUUGCCUGGUGGCUGGGAUCCCUAUGGGGGAGGCUUAAAAAGUGCCUAAGGUAAGGAUUUGUCAUUAACAAUGCCUGGAUAUUCGAAGAUCUCCUAAUGCCUCUGUAUUAGAUCAGAUUUAGUUUCAUCUGAAACAGCAAAGACUCAAGUAUCUGUAGUUUAAGCAAGAGAAACAUUUCUUUCUCUCUCAGAUAGCUGAACAUAAGCAUUCAGGGGCUCACAUGAUUUCUCCAUGGUUCGGGGAGUUAGGUUACUUCUAUGAUCUGAAUGUUGGUAUACCCCCAAAAUUUAUAUGUUAGAACCCAAUACACCAGGUGAUAGUAUUAAGUGGUCAGGACUUUUGGAAAUGAUUAAGUCUUGAGGGCUCCAUCCUCAUGAAUAGGAUUAGUGCUUUUAUAAAAGAGACUGGAAUGAGCUUCCCUUAACUCUUUCACCACAUGAGGACACAGGAUGAAGAUGUCACCCAUGAAGCAAAUAGAGGGCCUUCACCAGAUACUGGACCUGUUUGCACCUUGGUAUUGGACUUCCCUGCCUCCAGAACCAUGAGAAAUACAUUUUUAUUGUUUAUGAAUGACAUAGUCUGGGGUAAUAGUGGCAAUAAUAUUGAGUAUUACUAAUACUUAGUAAUAGACUGAGACAUUCCUGCACCAAUUCCUGUCAAAUUCCUGAGACCCUGGUUAUAGCAGCAGGAAGGACUAAGCUACUAUUAUCUUGUUGUCUGCUUUCCAGAGGUCAGUGCCCUUGUCCACAUUGUCUAAGAUGAUUAGCCACUGUGUCUGCGUUUCAGAUACAGGAAGUGGGAAAGAGAAAGACACACAUUCCUCCCCUAUAAAGGCAGGACUUAGAUGUGCAUUCAUCACUACUGUUCAUAAUCCGUCAGCUGGAACUCAGUCACAUGACCACAGCUAACAGCAAGAGGGGCUGGGGAAUGUAGUUUUAUUCUGAGAAUCCUUGUAUUAAAUCUCAGGGAUUUCUAGACUGGAGAAAAAGAGAGGCAUCAAUUUCAGGACACAACCAGUCUUGGUUACAACCUCUUCUUCCAGGGAGCUGUUGAAGGGUUGAAGACCAGGGAGUCUUGAAGAUUAAGAAACACAUGUCCCAAGACUCUUAAGAAUGGCUAAUCCACUUCUUUCUUCCAGCUUCACACAUUAGCUACAUAAUGAAAUUAGGGGAAAUGUAAGAAAAAUAGAGAUGAUUUUUGCUGAGCACUGUUUCAGGAACUUUCCACAGCAAUUUAAUCUUCACAACAUCAUGAUGAAGUAGCCAUUAUUAUUGUCAUUUUAAGGAUGACGAACUGAGAUUCAGAAACAGGAGAUAAAGGUGAGAAACUAGCAUCUUUGACUCAUUAGAAAAGCCAGGCACUUUAUAUCCAUUAAAUAUGCCAAGCAUUUUAUGUUUAAUAACUCAUUAAAUCCUCAUGAUUCAAUCAGAUAAAUACGAUUUCCUUCUAUAUAUGGGGACAUAUAGAUAAACCUAGAAUUUGGAUCUGGGUCUAAUUCCAAAAGUCAAAAUAUUUUCAUUGUACAGAUGUAUUACUUAUUGCUACUGUCAGCUACAAAGUUUUUUGGUAUGGGUUGAUUAUUUUAUUUACUCACGAGUUAACUAAUUAAUUAAUUUUAACGAAGAAUUUUUAAGCACCCAGGAGGUGUCAGGCACAAGUUCCUGACCUCUUAGAGCUCACUUUCUAGGUGAGGAAAUAUUCAUUUAUUGAAAAACAAACACUUAUUAUAUGCUUCUUAUGACCAAGACCUGGUAUUACAAAGACAAAAAAGUAUAAUGAUUGCCAUACAAUAGAAAUCAAUAAAUAUUGAGUUAAUUAAAAACAUAGCCCUUGGGAACACCACAAUCUAUUAGUGGUGGGAUGCAGAACAAUGUGAAUUUGGGAGAGGAUGGUUUGAAUACUGUGCUAUAUUGGCUACAGCCGCCUAUCCAAAGACUGUCUUUGGAAGAGCUGAAUAUGAAGGAACUGUUCUUCCCUGAGCUCCCUGUGAGUAGGAUCUGCUUUGUAAACCAAGGACAUGCAGAAGCGUGGGAGGAAGCAGCACCUGAACCUGGAGCCAGUGACUAGGAGAUGAGCUCAGUCCUUGGCCAAGCCUGCUGCAGGUGUUGACUUUUUCUGCUAAAAAACCUGGUCAUGACUUCAGGGUGAUGAAGGGCAACUUGAGAAACAGACAAAAAGGCAAGAACUCCUUAAGUACAUCUGUGUUAAAUAAUUUCUGGAUUUGGUAAUGAACUCAAGGUGUUUCUGAAUCAGGUGAAAAUGGGGGAAAAUGUUGAGGAACACUUUCUGUUUAUGCCCUUUUAGUUUCUCCCCCACCUCCUAUCUCCCUCCAGGGUACUUCUGAUCACACAUGUAAGACUUAUCUAUGCUGGAGCCAAGGGUGAUGAUGGCUUUGUGACGGAGAUUUCUUAAAGGAAGAUACGAAUUUUAAUGUCUGGAUAGGUGCUCAGAUGGAAAAGGGUCUGAAAGGAGAGAUUGCUGAAAUAGAAUGUUUCUAGAUUGAAAAAUGCCCUGGAAGGGAACAUGGGAAUCUCACCAUUCCAGGCACCCCCAUGGGGCUGCUGGGCUUUUUUUGUGGCAUGAUUACCAUCUCCAUUCGUAUCUUAUGGUUGGGCUGUUGAUAGUUGUCAAGAGAAUCUCUGAUUCAGAGAGAGGAAAAAUGGAGGGUAAUAGCAGUUCUUUUUUGAACUGGGGCUAUCUAUUAACCUACCUUCUAAUGGGAUUGUAUAUUGGAUUGGGAAUAGCAAAACAUUCUUUAAGUAUAAGUACUUUUAGUCAGUGUGGGUACACACCCCCAUAGUGGCAUCAUGUGUGGAAGUUCUUUAGGGGGAGAGAAAAAGAUUAAAACCAAGACAAGCAAAGUAAUCAAUUCAAAUAUUUACAUCCAAAAUCAAUGUUACUAUUUACUUCAUUACCUUAGAAAGCUGCACACUGAUUCCAGUGGAGCUACCACUUAAGAAACAUUUUUGGACUUUCUUUCUCAUUUGUUUUUCAAAAUGCCUUUACAGUCAUGGUCUGUGUCCUUCAAUAAAGUACUUCUCAUUGCUUUUCAGUUGUUCUUUGUUUUAGAAAUACAAAAGGUGGUAAAAGAAUUAGAAAAAAAAUAGUUGAUAUCUUAACAUGGAAAGAAAUUGCAUUCUUUUAAAUUGUAGAAUAAAUAGUUUUUGUAGAAAAUUUGGAAAAUAAUAAUUAAUACAAAGAGGAAAAUAAGAAUUUUCCUAUAACCCCAUCACACAAAGAAAAACACUUUCUUCAAGGCUUUAUAAUGCACACAUAUGUGGCAGGUUUGUUGACUUGUUUUCACUGCUUAAGUGAGAGAGAAUAAAAUGAUAAUUAAUUUCCCUACUUCUCUCAUUUCACCCUUUUCUUUUCUAUCCUCUUCUCUCAACACAUGCACAUACCUCUGGGAAAAAAAAAUUCAAAAGCCACUCAUGCCUUUGAAUUCUAAGGUUUAAGCUCAUCUGUGUGUGGGUUUGUGUGUGCCUCUGAGUAUAAGUGGGCAAAGGUAUAUGGAUUGGAUUUAAAGGAUGGAGACUAACAGUUUAUUUGGGUCUUGGGGUCAUCAAAGAAAUAAUCAGGCAAAACAUUAGUUUGGAAGAUUAGGUUAGUCAUAGAAUUAAGGCAGAAUUGUCCUACAAGAAGAGGAGAGAGAUAAACUGGAGUUUAAAUAUGGAAGGUAAAGUGGGCCGGGCACGGUGGCUCAUGCCUGUAAUCCCAGCACUUUGGGAAGGCGAGGUGCAAUCACCUGAGGUCAGGAGUUUGAGACCAGCCUGGCCAACAUGGAGAAACCCUGUCUCUACUAAAAAUACAAAAAUUAGCCGGGCAUGGUAGCACAUGCCUGUAAUCCCAGCCACUCUGGAGGCUGAGGAGGGAGAAUUGCUUGAACCCGGGAGGCAGAGGUUGCAGUGAGCCAUGAUUGUGCCACCGCACUCCAGCCUGGGCAACAGAACAAGACUCUGUCUCAAAAA
rnacentral:lncRNA from 1 species